GAUGAACGCUGGCGGCGUGCCUAAUACAUGCAAGUCGAGCGAACAGACGAGGAGCUUGCUCCUCUGACGUUAGCGGCGGACGGGUGAGUAACACGUGGAUAACCUACCUAUAAGACUGGGAUAACUUCGGGAAACCGGAGCUAAUACCGGAUAAUAUAUUGAACCGCAUGGUUCAAUAGUGAAAGACGGUUUUGCUGUCACUUAUAGAUGGAUCCGCGCCGCAUUAGCUAGUUGGUAAGGUAACGGCUUACCAAGGCAACGAUGCGUAGCCGACCUGAGAGGGUGAUAGGCCACACUGGAACUGAGACACGGUCCAGACUCCUACGGGAGGCAGCAGUAGGGAAUCUUCCGCAAUGGGCGAAAGCUUGACGGAGCAACGCCGCGUGAGUGAUGAAGGUCUUCGGAUCGUAAAACUCUGUUAUUAGGGAAGAACAAAUGUGUAAGUAACUAUGCACGUCUUGACGGUACCUAAGCAGAAAGCCACGGCUAACUACGUG
rnacentral:rRNA from 1 species